CAGAGAAUAGUUUAUUAAAAUAUUAAUUUUGGAGAUUAAUGAUAAGAAUUUUUUUCUUUUCUCUGA
rnacentral:tRNA from 1 species